rnacentral:lncRNA from 1 species
GCCUGGGUUUGAUAUUCAUUUUAUAAUGUCUUAAUGUCAUCGAAAAAGAGUUUUCUUAUCGAUGGCUUCAGGCAGCAGGUUAGCAAACAUACUUUUGAUAACCCACCAAAUGUUAAAUGGUCAUAUUCAUUGACCAAAGAAGAUUUUGGUUUUCUUAAAUCUAAUUGUCACUUUUUUAUUUAUAUUUUGCCGGACACCAACUGAAGUCCAGGAAAGAACCCUAAUU